AACUUAUUUGAUUUGCGUUUUAAUAUCAUUAUUUAUUCUACUGUAGUAUUAACAAAAGAAAGGAAUAAUCAGUAAUCAGCCUCCUGUGCCUGACGCACGUGGUCGACUUUUUGGGGAAUGUUCAAUGCGCACAUAAAAAGAAAGUCCUAUUGAUGCGCAGCCGGGCAUCGAACCUACCACCUCAGGGAUGAGAGUCGCACGCGGAAGACACUAAGCCAUCACAGCUCAUUGAAAUUACGUAGCUCUCGUUAUUAUAUUUUGGGUAAAUUCUGCCGAGCCACUACUUUAUCGAUUUCUUAUCAAGGUAAUGGAGUCCUCAUAAUAUAAUUCUGAUUAUAUUAAGGCGUACUAAGCCACAAGCUUAAAAAAAAUUAAUCUAAAUGUUAUAAAUAAAAUAAGAAAUAUA